rnacentral:tRNA from 1 species
GCCAUGGCUCAGUGGAAGAGCAUCUGUUUUGCAUGCAGAAGGUCCCAAGUUUUAUCCCUGGCAUCACCA